rnacentral:rRNA from 1 species
GCGAGUGAAGCGGGAAAAGCUCAGACUGAAAAUCCUCGGAAUUGUAGUCUGGAGAAGUAUGGUCAGCCGAUGAUGAUGAGUGAAGUCUUCUGGAAAGGAGCGCCUUGGAGGGUGAUAGCCCCGUUCAUACUUAUCAUUAGAAGCGUACGACCUGCUUUCUACGAGUCGUGUUGUUUGGGACUGCAGCACUAAGUGGGUGGUAAAUUCCAUCUAAAGCUAAAUAUUGGUGGGAGACCGACAGCGAACAAGUACCGUGAGGGAAAGAUGCAAAGAACUUUGAAAAGAGAGUUAAAUAGUACCUGAAAUUGCUGAAACGGAACCGAUGGGAAGCAGUGUCGGUGGCGGGUAUUUAUACCUGUCACAAGCCAGGCUUCUUUUCUGGUGCGGGAAAGGCUGAUAAACUAGUUUAGGUUAUCUACGCCGUCGUGCUAGCGAAG